rnacentral:lncRNA from 10 species
AGAGAAUGCGGACCCCUGCAUCCUAUACUUUGAUUUGCUAAAAUUCAAGAUCAUGGAAAACUGCCAGAAGGAAAUGGGUCUUCUCCUCUCCCAAAUGGUCCCAUAACUAGUCUGGCCACCUUGAGCCAUCCAAGAGGAGAAUGUGGUCAGGGACCGUGACUCAGCUUAAGAAGCUACAUUUAUAUCUAUAUCUACACACAUGUUCUACCGACUAUGACCACACCACCAUGGCCCAUGCCCAUACACCCACGUGUGAACCAAGAGGCAGGUAAUGUGCCGAUGACGACGUCUACAAGGUUUGAGGGAGGCACCUCUCAAAACCGAAUCAUCAUGCUUGCAAACUACAAAAGACUCUUUCUUGGUACUUUUCUUGUUUGAAAGUACCUACAUUUUGGGGCUCAAGACUCAGAAAGUCAGAGUGGAGAGUUGGGUGCCAUGCUCCAUUCUGCUUUUCCUGAAGUGCCUCAAAUGCUAGGCAGAGUCCCUGCACUCUCCGUGAUAGGAAUCUCCUCUGUGGCCAAAAUUGGGCCUCCGUUUUUUUCACCGCAGGAAUAUACAUGUCCUCAUGGCCGUCUCCUGCCUGGGCAGCAGCGAAGCCUCCCCAGACUGCUCUGCCCUGUGGAAGAAAAGGCCUAGGUCCUGCUGUUUUCCCAGUCUCCUUUCCUGGGAGGUGGCCAUGACUCGCUCCCAUUAACCUGGGCAGAGGCUGUUUCCCAUCUCUUCCUGCAUGAGUUACUUCAUGGAGCCUCGGAGGAGGAGCCCUGGACUCUGCUCGCCUGGGAUUCCUGCUGUUCUACCCACUGUCCACCCAGAAGCUCCCUUCCCCGGGUCUGACAUGACUUUCUCUUCUGAGCCAGGCCCAGCAGGAAGGAUGCGUUUGUGUUCGGCCCUGCAUUCCUGCAGUGUCCCUCGGGUGUGUGGCUGGAAAUGAUUUGUGUAAGGCACUCAGCCAGCCUCCCUUUUAAUCACUCCCAUACUCACAGACAGAGGGAAUCCCAGCCCCUCACCCAGGAGAGGGAAGGAACCUCCUUCAUUUUGACAGGGCCUCCCUCCGUGGUGGGGUAAGCAGUGAUUCUGGUCUCCAGGAAAGAUGCUUCCAAGAGCCUCUUUCUCUGAGGCCUAAUUAUGAAAUCGAUAUCUUCAGGAACCCCUCCUCCUUCCCUGGAGCUUCUGCAGGCAGACACUGCCCAGAUAAUGUUCAAACAUGCAUUGACCCGGCAGGGCUUCCUGAGCACCACUCUGGCUGGGGAGGAGGAUGGGAUCAGCUGGGCCUGGAAGAAUGGGCAGGGUUUGCUUAGGACGUUUCGGGGAGGCAGAUGGUGUAAGCUGGGGAUGGGGUGAGGAAGGGAGAGAGUUAGGGGCAGCUUGAGGGAAAUAGGGGUGUUUGUUGGGGAAGAGUGAGUGAUGACUGGUCAGAGUCCCAACAGCAAACAGAGGACACAAUUAAAAUGGGAUAGUUCCAGGAUAGUUUAUUUGCAUAGGUGUGAUCACAGGGAAACCACAAAGAAUAGUGCAGUUAACUGGUCUUAGUAAGAGCCAAGGUGUUAUCACCUCUAGGCACAAAGAGACAAAGACCAGAACAGAGAGUCCUGCAGAGCAACUUGACUUGGAAGGAACAGAAGACUUCAGUCCAGGGGCACAGUAAGCUGGAGGCAACCUUGCAGGGAGAGACCCAGGCAGAGCUGGAUUUGUAGUGACGCUGGCGAAGUUUAAGCUUCAGGAUCCCACGCUUGCACAGGUGACUUCCAAAGCCGGGAGGAGUUCUAGCGAUGUAUUCAUAUGUCACACAUUUUGUAAAUUUUGCAAAAGUAAGAUAGUUUCAUCCCAGUUUCCCUCCACUAUACAUAUCUCAUGGUUGGGUGGCUUUGGAGUCGUUGCGGGCAUUUUUAGGAUCUGGUUAAGGGGGAGAUGGGUUUUGGUUUGGUUGGGUAUAUGUAAGUUGCUCACAGCCACUUUUUUUUUUCUUUAGGAUGGAGUCUCACUCUGUCACCCAGGCUGGAGUGCAAUGGUGCAAUCUCAGCUCACUGCAACCUCCGCCUCCCGGGUUCAAGUGAUUCUCUUGCCUCAGCCUCCCGAGUAGCUGGGAUUACAGGUGUGCACCACCAUAGCCAGCUAAUUCUUGUAUUUUUAGUAGAGAUGAGGUUUUACCAUGUUGUCCAGGCUGGUCUCGAUCUCCUGACUUCAAGUGAUCCGCCCACCUCGGCCUCCCAAAGUGUUGGGAUUAUAGGCAUGAGCCACUGCACCCAGCCCACAGUCACUUCUGAAUAUACUUAAUUCAUCACUAGCUGUCCUGAUGUCAAAAUGGCUUUCAGGAAUACUCUCACCUCCAACUCACCUGGUGUCAUGACUUGAAGGUGAUGACAGGUCAUAUUGCAAUAUGUAUGUGGUUAGUGGAAGAGAACAGAGGUUUGUAAGGUAUGGAACCAGAAGAUAGCCUAUGGCAAAUUCUUCCCAUCAUCAGACGUACAAUUUUAAGUGGAGAAUUCAGUUCUCUUGGUCAGAAACAUAAUGUAGUACAUGCAACUCUAAAUACACCAUACUAUUUUCUCUUAAAAUGGAAUCUCACCCUUCAGAAAUUCUUAAACAUCUGUGUUUGUAGCCUAUAAGCAUAAUAACAUUUCAGAUCGUACCAAAAGUAGUAAUUUUUUAAGAAGAAGAAAGAAAAGGCAGGUAGAAAUAAAGGCCCUUGGACCAGCUGGUAAUCUUAUUGUUAAAGGAAAGUAAAACAUAUUAACUCACUGGGAAAAGCUUUACAUUUCUUGCUACUUUGAUAAAAAAUGCUGACAUCUUUGAAGCUGUCUUAGAUUGGGUUCCCUGGAGGCUGACCAUGAAAUGGAAAGUUGUGGGCCGGAGGCUUACCGUGGAGUGCUCUCAGGAGACAUAUGUGUGAGGAAAUGAGGAUGGCAGGAUUGGGAGAAGCUGAUCAGAAAUAUGGCCUCAGCCAAUCUGAUAUCCCCAGCAGCUGAAGGAUGGCUGUGUUGGCCUGAAGAGGGGAUCUGUGCGGUGGCCACAGCUCCCUCCACAGAUGAUAACGUAGGUCUCAUGAUACAUCACUACAAUGGGGACACCAAAGACAAACUGACUUCUCAUGUACAUCACUGCAAUGGGGACACCAAAGACAAAUGGACUUCUCAUGAUACAUCACUACAAUGGGGACACCAAAGACAAACUGACUUAUAAGUGUCAU